GACAAGUUUCUGGAUCCAUCUUGAAGAGACAAGAGUGUAUCUCCUUAGUCUAAGAGACAGCAUCCAAAUAUAGGGCACGUCCAUGACUGAAUGAUCGAAGGUUCAUGGCAACCCUAUGUUAACAGUGUUCAUUGGCAGCAUUCGUUGGUGCAGUGUGGGCCUGAAGGCAUGCA